UUAGUUUUACUAAAAAUAAUACUGAAGUUAUAAAAUGGAGAAAUUUACUGACAUUCUUGGUGCUGUUCGCAAAGACAGUGGUUCUACAUUUCGAUCUUGUGAGCCUGAACUAAUAGAGCUGAUGAGACAGAUUGACAACAUGGUUGAAGAAAAGAAAAAUGAGUGGUUAGAACAAAUGUCUACUUUGCAAUUACUGCUACAACAAAAAGUUGAUGAGAAUUCUCGAAUUUACCAAGAUCUUGAAGCUUUAAGCUAUGAAGUGGAUGAUUUACGUAAAGAAGUUGCGCGAUUAAAGAAUUCUAAGAAAUUGCUUGUUACAAAAUAUGAAAACACUGUUAAGAGGUUCAAGGAUGAGGUUGAUUUACUCAAAAAGAAAUACGACAGACUUCAAAAGAAAACAAACAAGUUUCAUGAUCAAAAAAUUACAGAAUGUCAAAAUAUACAAUACGAGAGUCAAAACAAAACUACAGAAAUUGGUAUUUUACAAACAAAAAUUCAAAAUCUUGAAGAACAAGAAAAAAAGUACAAAGUAGAAUUGGAAAGUUUUAAAAAGUACACAGCCACUUUAGAAGAGCAAAGAGAAAGUUUAUCAGAAAAGUGUAAGCUCAACCUGAAAAAUGAGAGCUCAGUUAAGCAAAGCUGCUGGUCCUUUUUCGGUGUAAAGGCUGACACAUUGAAACCAUUAGAGAAUGCUCAGUUGAAUCGAAAGCAAGAAACUUUUCAAAAUUUAGAGCAUGAAACUGCUUGUCGUAUUGCAAAUUUAGAAACUAAGGUUGCUUCUCAACAUAAAACUUGCAUUCAACAAGAAUUAGAAAUUGAAAGUUUAAAAGUCAAACUUGGCGAUUUAAAUAAAUAUUCAGAUGAGUCCAAAAACAAUAAUGAUAUCUCAGAGAGGCUACAAAAAGAAAACGAAAAAUUAAAAAAUGCAAUUCUGAAAAAAAAUCAAAUCAUACAGAAGUAUGAAAAAAAGUUGUUUGAUCUUUCAAAGCAUUCUUUUCACAGUUUUGAAGAUAACUCGAACAGUACUCAGGGUGUCACACAGAAUCUGAGAUCUCCUUUAAUUUAUGAUUCAGUUGCUAAAAUCAAUUAUGAAGAAAAAAUAUAUCAACUAGAGAAAGAUAAUGCAGAGUUGCACAAAAGACUUUUGAUGUUAAAGGAAGAAAUGUCAUCACCAUAUAAUAAAUCAGUUAUUCAGAAUCAAGAUAUUACUUCUAGGAAAGAUAUUGAAAAGAAGUCAAUUGAAGGUUGUUAUGGUUCUACAGAAUCUUCAGUUUACAUAGAUUUCUCUGAUUUCUCUAAAGCUUCAAUUGAAAAGGGAGAUAAAAAAAUACCUCUCUCUCCAGCCAGUGAAUUCACAAGAAGAGAAAUACUGCGAGAAGAAAUCCUCGAUAAAAAAAUUAAGUCUACUAUAAAUGAUUUUAAAAAAGCGUUUGAAUAGUUUUAUAGUUAAUAUAAUGUAUAAUAUUUUUAAUUCAAUUUUAUUUGAAUUUGGUUGUGGAUUGUAAAAUAAUUUUUUAAACUCUAUAAAUUGCAUAUGUAAUAUAAAUUUGUAAUAAAAUAUGAGAAAUAUGAAGAAAUUUAAAGGUAAA